UUCUUUCUCAUCUUCAUUGGUGCAGAGGGAAAAUUUCCUACUUACAGAAGCCCUCGCCUAAGAGGUAUCAAAAUGGAAUGUUGUGUUUUAUCACAACUGAUUCUAAGAACAGAAGCUAAUAACAAAGUCUGUGUGGCCUGGAACACCAGACUUGACUGGACCUACUUGCAAUCUCUUUUCUGACUAAUAAAGUAACUUAAAAAAAUUAACCCUGUAAAGACCAAUGGACUCAAUCCUUUCUAGCUAGAGUGCAAGUUUUUAAUCCUCGAACUAGCAAAAUAACUAAGAGCAUCCCACUUGCUAUCAAUACUUAAUGAUUUCUUUUUUAUUUCCAGCUCACUACUCAGAGUAUUUCUCCACUGGUGCAUGUCUUCUUGCCUGGAAAGUUAAUAAAAUUGGCUUUGUAUCUUUUUAAAGCCUUGGUGUCAUUUGUUUUGCUCUUUGACAAGAAAACCCCAGCUCUAGAUUGGUUUAGUCUCUCUCCUUUAAAUCUUGAUUGAAAUAGCUGAAAAACACUAAAGAAAAAAAAAACCACACUAACUCACGUAUUAUCAUCACUAUAAUAUGUAUAAAUAACACCCCAAUUGGUUAGUUUCAGUAGCUGGCUCUACUGAGAUUAUCUCAAACCCUAUAGAUAACUUCCCAAGUCAAUGGUCUAAUCUUCUUCUACCCCAAUUAAACACAGAGAAUCUUGACACUGGUGCCCAGUUACUACCAUUUCUUAGAAUUUUACAUUCCUUUGAUGGCCAUGAUUCUCUCUUUAUCGUAUCGCUUCUUUUCUACUCACCCCUUAAACCAGAGCUCCUCUUCAAGAUUUCAUCCUUACAAACUUUUCUAAUGAUGUCCUCUCUCCAAGGGCCUCUAUUUUUACGAGGCAAUUCUCACACCUUUCAAGUCCAGGUCUCCAUACAAGAACUCCCUUUUGAUUUCUAGACCUAACCAUUCAACUGUCUGUUGGACAGACUUGUGAUCACAUUCUGGGUGGGAAGGAAAGAAGGGCCUUCUAGGAGCUCUGUGCAGGGAAAGGGCUGAGCAGGUGGGUGAGUCAGUCAAGAAGGCAGGUGGUGGGAGGGCUAGUGGAACGAAUGGGCCAUUACAGCCUUGGUGGGCAUAUGAAGGCCUCUGCGUUUUACCUGGAAAAUUCGGAGACUGAUUUAGGCUUUGAAAGAAUAGCUAAGGAUAAAGCCACGGAGAGUAGGCGGGAGGUAAGAGCAAUAACCCAGGCAAACGGUUCAGGGGGAUUUUUUAAUCUAAAAUUCAGAGGGGGGGGCUUGUUUUCAAGCUUUUUCUUAGGAGUUAUAAAAUUUUUGCAUCUAAAGUAAAAUAAAAUAUGGUCUCUAUAAAUUAUUAUGAAUUUCAACUUAAUUUAACUUUGUUCUAAUUCUCAGUCCUAAAUUAGAAUGUUCCAUUUUUAACUCACUCUAAAUUCUGUCUCAGCAGUUAAGCUCUCCCGAAUCUGGUUCAACUCUUGGCCCUCAGGCCAACCCAGUGUCCCAAGUCUUCAGAGGCAAUGGACAUUUUUAGUUUUGGGAAUCAGGCCUUUGCCUUUCUUAUUUAUGGCUCUCUAUUGAAGUGCUUGUAAUUCCGUAUAGAUUUCAUUUUAGUUUUCUGUCCUUUUUUACUUCCAUAUAGAAAGUAUGGUUCUAUUUGUUAACUCCUUUGUUGGGAAUGUACAAAUAUUUAUUUUAUGUUUACAUCUUCACCAGUCAGAAGAGUGACACAAGCCCUCUCGUCUCUCUCUCAUUCAGAGCUUAUUUGAACAAUUUCUUUCUUCUUUCCUUCUUUCUUUCCUUCUUCCUUUCUUUCUUUCUUCCUUCCUUCCUUCCUUCCUUCCUUCCUUCCUUCCUUCCUUCCUUCCUUCCUUCCUUCCUUCCUUCCUUCCUUCCUUCCUUCCUUCCUUCCUUCCUUCCUUCCUUCCUUCCUUCCUUCCUUCCUUAAAAAUUUUUUUUUUUUUUUUUUUUGUCUUUUUAGGGCCGCCUGUGGCAUAUGGAGGUUCCCAGGCAAGGGGUCGAAUCCGAACUGUUCUACAUCACAGCCACAGCCACAUGGGAUCAGAGCUGUGUCUGCGACCUGCACCACAGUUCAUGGCAACACCAGAUCCUUAACCCACUGAAAUUAAAAUAAGGAUUCUGAACAUAAGUUGUUUCCAUAUGAUCAUGAAUACUUUUAGUGACAAUAAAGGAUAUAAUGAAUUUUACCAAUAUUACAUAGUCUUCUUGGGAAAUAUUUUUCCUCAGUUGAAAAUGUUAAAGCAGGCACUCUUAAUGUGACACAGUGUCUUGAUUUUUGUUUUGUUUUGUUUUGUUUUGUUUUGUUUCUUUUUAUGGCUGCAUUUGUGGCAUAUGGAGGUUUCCAGGCUAGGGGUCGAAUUGGAGCUAUAGCUGCCAGCCUAGGCCAAAACCACAGCAAAGCAGGAGCUGAGCUGCGUCUUUGACCUACACCACAGCCCAGAGCAACACCGGAUCCUUAACCCACUGAGUGAGGCCAGAGAUCAAACCUGCAUCCUCAAGGAUACUAGUCAGAUGUAUUACGACUGAGCCACAGUGGGAACUCUUGGUAUGUUGAUUUUAAAGCAUGUUGCAAACUAUUAAAUACAACACCCAUCCUUACAUCUUCUUUGGAGAGAUGUCUAUUCAGGUCUCCCGCCUAUUUCUCAACUGGGUGGUGGUUGUUGUUGUUUUUGUUUUCUGUUGAGCUGAAUAAGUUGUUUGCAUACUUUAGAGAUUAAGCCCUUGUCAGUUGCAUCCUUUGAAGAAAUUUUCUCCCAUUCUGUAGGCUGUCUUUUUUUUUUUUUUUUUAAUGGUUUUCUUUGCUGUGCGGAAGCUUGCCAGUUUGAUAAGGUUCCCCUGGUUUAUUUUUGCUUUUAUUUUUCUUCUCUUGGGAGACUGACCUAGGAAAGCAUGUGUAUGGUUGGUGUCAGAGAAUGUUUUGCUUAUGUUCUCUUACAGGAGUUUGAUGGUGUCUUGUCUUACAGUUCAGUCUUUAAGCCAUUUUGAGUUUAUUUUUGUGCAUGGUGUGAGGGUGUGUUCCAGUUUCACUGAUUUACAUGCGGCUAUCCAGUUUUCCUAGCACCACUUGCUGAAAAGACUUUUUCCCAUUUUAUAUUCUCACCUCCUUUCCCAAAGAUUAACUGACCAUAGGUAUCUGUCAACAUCACUAAUUAUUAGAGAAAUGCAUAUCAAAACUAUUAUGAAAUACUACCUUACAGGGGUCAGAACAGCCAUCAUUAACAAAUCAACAAAUAACAAAUGCUGGAGAGGGUGUUGAGAAAAGGGUAACCUCCUACACUGUUGGUGGGAAUGUAAAUUGGUACAACCACUAUGGACAAAAGUAUGGCGGUACCUCAGAAAAUUAAAUAUAGAACAACCAUAUGACCCAGCAAUCUCAUUAUUGGGCAUAUGUCCAGACAAAAUUUUUAUUGUGAAUACACAUGCACUCACAUGUUCAUUGCAGCACUAUCCACAAGAGCCAAGACAUGGAAACAACCUAAAUGUCCAUCGACAGAUGAAUGGAUUAAGAAGAUGUGGUGUAUAUACACAAUGGAAUACUACUCAGCCAUAAAAAAGAACAAAAUCAUGCUAUUUGCAGCAACAUGGAUGGAACUAGAGACUCUCAUACUAAGUGAAGUAAGUCAGAAAGAGAAAGACAAAUACCAUAUGAUAUCACUUCUAUCUGGAAUCUAAUAUACAGCACAAAUGAACCUUGCCACAGAAAAGAAACUCAUGGACUUGGAGAACAGACUUGUGGUUGCCAAGGGAGAGGGGGAGGGAGUGGGAUGGUCUGAGAGUUAACAGAUGCAAACUAUUACAUUUACAGUGGAUAAGCAAUGAGAUCCUGCUAUAUAGCACAGAGAACCAUAUCUAGUUACUUGUGAUGGAGCAUGGUGGAGGAUCAUGUGAGAAAAAAAAUAUAUAUGUAUGACUGGGUCAUUUUGCUGUACAGCAGAAAUUGACAGAACACUGUAAAUAAAUUAUAAUGGAAAAAUAAAAAUCUUAAAAAAAAAACAGCCAUUGAAAGGUAGGGUCCAUAUGCCCAUCUCUUGAAUCUGAGCCAACCCUAAUGACACUCCUGUGACCAUCAGACUGCAAUGUGAUGACAAGUGAUUUCAGAGGCAGAGUCAGAAAAGGCUGAGAAGCUUCUGCCUAAUUCUCCUAAGAUGCUUAUUCUAGGAUAAACCAGUUAGGGGCCACAUACAAGGUUUGAAACUCUCUUGGUGGAAAGUCCAGGUCAAUUCUGAUUGACAGCCCAGCUGAGUUCCAGGGAACCACCUGCAUUGACUCCCAUGCAGAUGAGUGAGUCAAACUAGCAAAUACAUCCCAGUCGAGCCUUCAGAUCAUGGUACAGCCCAAGCAAUGUGAUAGACACUAAGUGAAAGCUGCACUGCCAAGUCCUUCUUGAAUUCCUGACCAACAACACUGUGAGAAAAAUUAAAUGACUGUUUUAAGCUGCUAAGCUCAGUGAUAAUUUGGUCAAGCUAAUAACCAUAACACAUGGCUAUUAAAGCCAUUACAUGCUUAAAUGGUCCCCUAUUCAGUGCCACCUGGUCUAGCUUACAGCCUUGUAAGCUAUAUAUUAGUAUUUCCAAGAAGUAGACUUUCACAGAUACAAGUCACAUGUUAAUACAAAGACCUAGUUCUAUUUUCAUUAAAAUGUCCCAAGAACCCUGGAUUUAAGCGUUUUGGAGUGUUGAAGACAAUGAGAAUAAAAAAGAAAAUAGGUUCAUGUGGUCAAUUCCUUUUAUUAGACCCACUGUGUUCUAAAGACUAUUUCUAAUUAUAUAAUGGUUAGGGGGUCAAGGACCUUUGUCUAGCUUUGAGAAUAUUAUCUUCUGUCUUCAUUUCUCAAACUCGAGGAUGUAAGUCAUUCUUAUCUGCCUUGAUCAUGUCUUCUAGAUGAAUCAGAAUUUGUAAGAGAGGACACUAUGAACACCUGUCACUUUAAAAUAUUUUAGGAAAUAAUUUUGAAGGCAGGAGGUUCCAAUUCUUACACGAUAUUAGAAUUAGGUAAGGAGGGGGAUUGGGAAAGCAGAGCUGUUGGGGGGUGGUUCAGGUGGCUGGAGGCUAACUUUUGAUGGAUUUACCUACAGCACCUUUCAAAACUGAGAAACUUUCUAGGGAUCACUUAUUUUUACAAGACCAUGCAAAUAUAUUUUUCUUUUGUGAAAUGUACCCAGUCUCGUCAUAUAAAAUUUAUCAACUGAAUUAAAAUUAUGUUUUGCCAAAGGAAUGGUUGCCAAAGAAACCAAAGGAAUAAAAUUUACUUUCUGCUUUUACAUUUUUGAUAACUUUUCAUUCCUCUUUUAUGAGUCAUACAAUUGCCAUCAGGAGACUCUGGUCAGAGACAAAGGUUCUUUGAACUGGUUGGGACAGACCUUCUCAAAGUGUGGCCUGGGGAGGCCUGUGGGUCCCAGAGACCCUAUCAGAAGAUCUGUGAAGUCGAACUCUUUCCAUAAUGCUGAAGAGACCUUAUUUGCUGUUUUUCAUCUAACUCUCUCAGUGCACUGUGGUGUCUUCUGGAGGCUACAUGGUGUGUGACUGCAACGGACUGCAGGCAGAGCUAUUCACGAAAACCCAACUGUCUUGCUAUGUGUUAAAAAGAUUUGCAAAAAAUGUAAAAUAAUGCCACAUUUCCUACUAUUGUUAAAAGCAUAGUCAUUUUAUGAAAGUAUUAAUAAUGCAUUUUUCUUAAAAACCAUGACCAUGGAAUGGACUUAUUAUUACACAGAAUGAAUUAAUUUUAGAAUUUCUGAGUGUUAACCUCUAAUGCAAAUACUGAUAGACAUAACACAAACAAAUCACUGAGACCCUCCAACAUUUUUUUAAAGUAAAUAAGGAUACAGACUGCAAUGUCAGGAACUGCUGGGUUAGGAAUUUAUCUGAGGAAACAAACAUUGUUUUACUGACAAUAGCCACUAACAUGUGUACUUCUAGGUAAAUCAAAACUUUAAACCUCUAUGUCUACGUUAUGCUGCAAAUCUCAAAAAUUCUUGUGAGAAUCAGAAGCAUCACUGGGUAGUAUAUGGUCUAACUCACUGAUAGACCUAGGUAGGAAGGCAGGUAUUUGGAGCUUUCUGAAUCAAAGAUUCUGGCUAGUUCAAAAAGGGGUGUGAUGUGUGUGUGUGUGUGUGUGUGUGUGUGUGUGUGUGAUUAUUUGAGAGAAUGUCAGACGAAUCAGAAAAAAACUUCUGAGUGAAAUGCUAUUAACUGAAGACCUGGGUUACCUUCUCUCUAAAUCUCUCUCCUCUUCUUUUCAGACCAGGUAACAGAGUCUUACUCUGGGGUCUAUUCUUCAUUUCCUUGUCUUCUGAACAAAGCAGGUAAUAGGAAAAAUGGUCAAAUCCCUCUGCUCCGAAGGACUGUUCAUACUCACUUCAUGUGGCCUCUUGAUCCAGAAUACUGGAUCACUUAUGCUUAAGAAAUCCUGAAAUUAGAUUCUAAUUAGGCAAUAAAAAUCAACCACCCUGACCAACCUGAGCUUUCAGCCAAGCCUUGGUCUGAUGAUAUAAGUUUUAAGAGAACGGGCAAUUCAUUUUUAUUGUUUAAUGACUUGCUUUCAGGUCUUUAAAAUCACAUGCAUAGUCAAAACCAAGUGAAUAAGUGAUUAUCUGUGCCCCCACCAAAAGGAAAAAAAAAAGAAAAAGAAAAAGAAAAA
rnacentral:lncRNA from 1 species